GAUGAACGCUGGCGGCGUGCCUAAUACAUGCAAGUCGAGCGAAUGGAUUAAGAGCUUGCUCUUAUGAAGUUAGCGGCGGACGGGUGAGUAACACGUGGGUAACCUGCCCAUAAGACUAGGAUAACUCCGGGAAACCGGGGCGAAUACCGGAUAACAUUUUGAACCGCAUGGUUGGAAAUUGAAAGGCGGCUUCGGCUGUCGCUUAUGGAUGGACCCGCGUCGCAUUAGCUAGUUGGUGAGGUAACGGCUCACCAAGGCAACGAUGCGUAGCCGACCUGAGAGGGUGAUCGGCCACACUGGGACUGAGACACGGCCCAGACUCCUACGGGAGGCAGCAGUAGGGAAUCUUCCGCAAUGGACGAAAGUCUGACGGAGCAACGCCGCGUGAGUAAUGAAGGCUUUCGGGUCGUAAAACUCUGUUGUUAGGGAAGAACAAGUGCUAGUUGAAUAAGCUGGCACCUUGACGGUACCUAACCAGAAAGCCACGGCUAACUACGUGCCAGCCGCCGCCGUAA
rnacentral:rRNA from 1 species